UAGGUAAUGAACAUAGUAUAAAAUAGUAUAAUAGGUAAUAAUGAACAUAGUGAUUGCAGAAAUAACAAGAAGGAGAAAACCAACAAGUUAUUUUUCAUGAUUUGAUUAAAGCUUUUAGACAUCACAUUGGGGCAAUUAAUUCCAAAUAUCUGUAUAAUAUAGCAAGCAGAAGGGACUCUAGAAUAUUUAGAUAAGUAUCUAAUAAUUGCUGUGUUCUCAUAGAUAUUCAAAUAUUGUCAGGUUAGACAGCCAGUUGCUGGGAAAAAAAAGAACAACAUUUUGUGCUCCUAAGUAGAAAAUUAUGUGCUUGUAAACAUUGGAAAAUUUAGUUUGUGUGAAGAGUUAUUCCCACACACUAAACCUAAAGUGUAUCUAGAAAUAAUUAAGAUGAGCCAAGGUUUUGUAAAGAUGAAACAUUUAAAGAUAUCUUUGUUAUUAUUUGUAAUAUUUAGAGUAGUAUUGCAUUAUGUUUGUUAGACUGAACAAAAAGCUAAUGAAGUSAUUAUAUUCUGAUAGUA